GAGGGUAUAGCUCAGGGAUAGAGCACGUGCUUAGCAUGCAGGAGGUCCUGAGUUCAAUCCCCAGUACCCCCU
rnacentral:tRNA from 1 species